rnacentral:rRNA from 1 species
CAUUUACCGGAACUUGUUCCGGAUAGAUGUCAAUGAUGUCAUACUUCCAAGAAAAGCUCGUACACUAUUAACAUAAUAAUGACCUAUACCAGAAACCGACACAGGUAGGUAGGUAGAGAAUACUAAGGGGCGCGAGAGAACUCUCUCUAAGGAACUCGGCAAACUAACCCCGUAACUUCGGAAGAAGGGGUGCCUGAGCAAUCAGGUUGCAGCGAAGAGUCUCAAGCGGCUGUUUACCAAAAACACAGGUCUCCGCAAAGUCGAAAGACGAAAUAUGGGGGCUGACGCCUGCCCAGUGCCGGAAGGUGAAGGAAGUUGGUUAUCUUGUUCGCAAGAGAAGCUGACGACCGAAGCCCCGGUGAACGGCGGCUGUAACUAUGACAGUCCUAAGGUAGCGAAAUUCAUUGUCAAGUAAGUUUUGACCUGCACGAAAGGCGUAACGAUUUGAGAACUGUCUCAGAGAGAGACUCGGUGAAAUAGACAUGUCCGUGAAGAUGCGGACUACUAAUACUUGGACAGAAAGACCCUAUGAAGCUUGACUGUAAUCUGGAAUUGAAUUCGGGCUUUUCUUGCGCAGCCUAGGUGGGAGGCGUUGAAGAUUUCCUUCCGGGGAAGUUGGAGCCAUCAGUGAGAGACCACUCUUGGGAGGCUAGAAUUCUAAUGGCGAUCCUUGAAUCAGGACGCUUGACAGUUUCAGAUGGGCAGUUUUCCUGGGGCGGGAGACUCCUAAAAGGUAACGGAGUUGCGCAAUGGUUCCCUCAGUCUGGACGGAAAUCAGACAUUGAGUGUAAAGGCAAAAGGGAGCUUGACUGUGAGACCUACAAGUCAAACAGGGGCGAAAGCCGGCCUUAGUGAUCCGACGGUGCUGUGUGGAAAGGCCGUCGCUCAACGGAUAAAAGUUACUCUAGGAUAACAGGCUAAUCUUCUCCAAGAGUUCACAUCGACGAGAAGGUUUGGCACCUCGAUGUCGGCUUAUCACAUCCUGGGGCUGUAGUAGGUCCCAAGGGUUGGGCUGUUCGCCCAUUAAAGUGGUACAUGAGCUGGGUUCAGAACGUCGUGAGACAGUUCGGUCCAUAUCCGGUAUUAGCGUUAGAAUAUUGAAAUAAGUCACUCAUAGUACGAGAGGACCUGUAGUGAUCAUGCCUAUGGUCUAUCAGUUCUUUUUCCAAAAGGAAACGCUGAGUAGCUACGCACGAACUCCAUAACCGCUGAAAGCAUCUAAGUGGGAAGGGGCUAUUAAGAUGAUUAUUCUCCAUUAGACCGCAGCAAGAUAAGCUGUUUAAUAGGUAUCAGAUGUAAGGUCAGUAAUGAUUUCAGCCGAGAUAUACUAAAGGUCGACUGA